rnacentral:rRNA from 1 species
UACGUAGGGGGCAAGCGUUGCCCGGAAUCAUUGGGCGUAAAGAGCGUGUAGGCGGCUUGGCAAGUCUGACGUGAAAUCCCGCGGCUCAACCGCGGUAGGUCGUUGGAAACUGCCUCGCUAGAGUCCGGAAGAGGAGAGCGGAAUUCCUGGUGUAGCGGUGGAAUGCGCAGAUAUCAGGAAGAACACCCGUGGCGAAGGCGGCUCUCUGGGACGGUACUGACGCUGAGACGCGAAAGCGUGGGGAGCGAACAGG